AAUUUUACAUAAGAGAAAGUUAGGAAUACAUAGAGUUUCAACGCAAGUCUGGUCUCGUCAGGAUGAAGGAAACAACACUAUGAGGCGUGACAGAAGACAUUGCUUACUAAUUAACAAAUUGCAAGCGAUUGAAAUUUCACAUUUAGGUGUAUCAUUUCUAUCUUCAUGCUUAGGAAUGUGUAACUUAAGAUCUUUCUGUGUUGUGCUUAUUUUACUCAUUA
rnacentral:lncRNA from 1 species